rnacentral:lncRNA from 12 species
CUGGUAUCUCACUAAUGCUCACCAAGUGUUACAAGGCUUGAGCGGAGGGAAAUAUGCAACCUUGUGACCCUGACUCAGAAUAGCCAAACUCCAUCUGCUCUGAAAUUUUACAUGAACUUUAUCCAGGGAAAGCUCAGAAACUACAACUACAGGAUCUCACAAAAACAGAAGAAUGAACAGGUUUUUUUCUUGGGCUCUUUGAACCAUAUGGAAGCAGAGCUGAUGACUUGUUAUGGAUCCUCUGUCAGACUGCUGCUGUACGCUUGCUUCCCAGA